CUGAUCCUAUCUAAAACAUGUAGAAUCAUAGCAUCUGGUCAGAGAUCAAUAUCUGUAACUUGGUAACAAGAAGUAAAGCUACAAGCUUUAUUUUCAACCUGCAACCCCAACCAGGGUGCUGUAACCAAAGCUACAAGCUUCUCACCUCUUGGAGCGGCUAUGAUACAUUGAGCAGGUUAAGGAAGGAGCCUACAAGUGAACAACUCCGCUGCAAGCCUGCACUGCACCUCUGAGCUCAAGAAGGGCUCCUCCUCUCUAAUCUUUGCACAGGGUAGAGACUGCAUGGAAUGGGGAAGCAUCUCACCUUUGCAGAUAAAAUCAUCCAAAGGAAGUGGGAGCCUGGGAGUUGUUGCUGUGGAGUUGAUCACCUAAUAAAGUCUUUGAGCCUUUGAGCUCUUGACACCUUUUUUCCUCUCUCUUUUUCUCGUGUAAAAGUUGCUUCUUCUAAAGGCCCCUUUCUUUCUCUGCUAGGAGGAUGAGGGUGAUGAACUUGAUGAGGUACUACACUACUACUACUUGUACUAGCAGUACUGUCCCUACUGCUGAAGCUCUUAUAUCAGUAUCAUGCCGGAUCGAUCCUGUCCGGCUAUUCAGAUACUUUGUUUAUGGUGGAAGAUAUAUUUAUGUC